UACAGAGGGUGCGAGCGUUAAUCGGAAUUACUGGGCGUAAAGCGCGCGUAGGCGGCUUUGCAAGUCGGGUAUGAAAUCCCCAAGGCUUAACCUGGGAACUGCAUUCGAGACUGCAUUGCUAGAGUAUGGAGAGGGAAGUGGAAUUUCCGGUGUAGCGGUGAAAUGCGUAGAUAUCGGAAGGAACAUCAGUGGCGAAAGCGACUUCCUGGACCAAUACUGACGCUCAUGUGCGAAAGCGUGGGGAGCAAACAGG
rnacentral:rRNA from 1 species